rnacentral:rRNA from 1 species
UUCGGCCUACGGGACGCAGCAGUAGGGAAUUUUCGUCAAUGGGCGCAAGCCUGAACGAGCAAUGCCGCGUGAACGAGGAAGGUCUUCGGAUCGUAAAGUUCUGUUGAAGGGGAAAAAGAGCGGAGAGAGGAAAUGGUCUCCGAUUGAUAUUACCCUUCGAGGAAGUCACGGCUAACUACGUGCCAGCAGCCGCGGUAAUACGUAGGUGGCGAGCGUUAUCCGGAAUGAUUGGGCGUAAAGGGUGCGUAGGCGUCCUGCUAAGUCUGGUGUGAAAGGUACUGGCUCAACCGGUACAGGCUCUGGAA